CGAGAAAGCCCGCAAGGGUGAGUACAGCGGCGCACGGGUGAGUAACACGUGGGUAAUCUGCCCUGAAGCCCGGAAUAACUCCCCGAAAGGGGUGCUAAUGCCGGAUGAGACCACGGGAGGACAUCCUCCAGUGGGAAAAGGUGGCCUCUGCAUGCGAGCUAUCACUUCAGGAUGAGCCCGCGGCCCAUCAGCUCGUUGGCGGGGUAACGGCCCACCAAGGCUACGACGGGUAGCUGGUCUGAGAGGACGAUCAGCCACACUGGAACUGAGACACGGUCCAGACUCCUACGGGAGGCAGCAGUGGGGAAUCUUGCGCAAUGGGCGAAAGCCUGACGCAGCAACGCCGCGUGUGUGAUGAAGGUCUUCGGAUCGUAAAGCACUGUCGCGAGGGACG
rnacentral:rRNA from 1 species